UUUUUUUUUUUUUUUUUUUGGUUUUUCCGAGACAGGGUUUCUCUGUAUAGCCCUGGCUGUCCUGGAACUCACUCUGUAGACCAGUCUGGCCUCGAACUCAGAGAUCCACCUGCCUCUGCCUCCCGAGUGCUGGGAUUAAAGGUGUACGCCACCACGCCCGGCUUUCUUUGUAUUUUGAUUCAUGUUAUUUAUGUGAAGAUUUUGUAGAGAGUAUGAAAUUAAGACUCGAAAGAGUGAAGUUGUACAAAGAGACAAUGUUCUAGAUUUAGACUGUCAGAAACUAGUUGAGGUUUGGAAAUUGGAUGAAUUAAUUCUACUAGUUAGAAUUGAAUAUAGGAAAAUUAUAAGAAAGUUAGGACAUCAGAUUAGAGAAUGUUGACAUUAAGUUCAGUAGAAUUUCAAGAACACUUAAAUUUAGUGAGAGAUUAGGGAGAGGUGAUUAUAUGUAUUAUCUGCUUGGAGAAAAGAGGAAUAUUUAAGAGUGGAAAGAUGAGCGGGGCAGUGGUAGUGGGCAGUGGUGGUGCAUACCUUUAACCCUAGCACUUGGGAGACAGAGUCAGGCGGAUUUCUGAGUUUGAGGCCACCCUGGACUACAGCGUGAUUUCCAGGACAGCCAGGGCUACACAGAGAAACCCUGUCUUGAAAAACCAAACCAAACAAAAAAAGAGUGAGAAAAUGGAUGCAUAGUAAUGAGUGCUUUUUGUAUCACAAUUUUCAAUUUACAGAGUACUUUGACAUGGAAAGUUUGGUGAUAUGGGUUAUGUUUCCAUUUUAUAGGAGCAAAGCCUAGAGGAAAUAGUUGAGGGUAUCAGAAGCUACUAUUGAAAAUCACCACCCACCCCACUCCCCAAAAAGCAAUGACAGUGAAUUUUCCCCCAUGUUUUUAUUUUUUUAAAGGCUUUAAAUUUUUACUUAUCUAUCUAUCUAUUAUAUUUGUGUAUGUAUCAGAAGGUCCUGCCUUCAUUUUUAGUUGUCUACUACAUGUGCACUUCUAUGUGUGGGUCUAACUUCAAAGAGAUAGAAAACAUUCUCUCUCUCUGUCUCUGUCUCUGUCUCCCCUCCCCCCCC
rnacentral:lncRNA from 1 species